rnacentral:rRNA from 1 species
AGCGAACGCUGGCGGCAGGCCUAACACAUGCAAGUCGAACGAACUCUUCGGAGUUAGUGGCGGACGGGUGAGUAACACGUGGGAACGUGCCUUUUGGUUCGGAAUAACUCAGGGAAACUUGUGCUAAUACCGAAUGUGCCCUUCGGGGGAAAGAUUUAUCGCCAUUAGAGCGGCCCGCGUCUGAUUAGCUAGUUGGUGAGGUAACGGCUCACCAAGGCGACGAUCAGUAGCUGGUCUGAGAGGAUGACCAGCCACACUGGGACUGAGACACGGCCCAGACUCCUACGGGAGGCAGCAGUGGGGAAUCUUGCGCAAGGGGCGAAAGCCUGACGCAGCCAUGCCGCGUGAAUGAUGAAGGUCUUAGGAUUGUAAAAUUCUUUCACCGGGGACGAUAAUGACGGUACCCGGAGAAGAAGCCCCGGCUAACUUCG